CUAGUGGCGGACGGGUGAGUAACGGCGUGGGUAACCUGCCGUCAGUACAGGGGGGAUAGCAGUUGGAAACGACUGAUAACACCGCAUAAGCGCACGGUAUCGCAUGAUACAGUGUGAAAAUAUUUAUAGGGUAUGAGAUGGACCCGCGUCUGAUUAGCUAGUGGUGAGGUAACGGCCCACCAAGGCGACGAUCAGUAGCCGGCCUGAGAGGGCGGACGGCCACAUUGGGACUGAGACACGGCCCAAACUCCUACGGGAGGCAGCAGUGGGGGAUAUUGCACAAUGGGCGAAAGCCUGAUGCAGCGACGCCCGCGUGAGUGAAGAAGUAUUUCGGUAUGUAAAGCUCUAUCAGCAGGGAAGAAAGACCUCGUAAGAGGGGAUGACGGUACCUGAGUAAGAAGCCCCGGCUAACUACGUGCCAGCCGCGGC
rnacentral:rRNA from 1 species